rnacentral:rRNA from 1 species
UCUUAGAUGGGCUCACGGCCUAUCAGCUUCGUUGGUGAGGUAAUGGCUUACCAAGGCGACGACGGGUAGCCGGCCUGAGAGGGUGACCGGCCACACUGGGACUGAGACACGGCCCAGACUCCUACGGGAGGCAGCAGUGGGGAAUAUCGCACAAUGGGCGCAAGCCUGAAGCAGCGACCCUCCCUGAGGGAUGACGGCCUUCGGGUUCGUAAACCUCUGUUAGCAUCGAAGAAACCAAAGUGACGGUAGGUUGCAGAGAAAACCCCGGCUAACUACCUGCUCACAGCCGCCGUAAUACCUAGGGCGCCAGCGUUUUCCGGAAUUAUUGGGCGUAAAGAGCUUGUAGGCGAUUGGUCGCGUCUGCUGUGAAAGGCCGGGGCUUAACUCCGGUUUUGCAGUGGGUACGGGCUAACUAGAGUGCAGUAGGGGAGACUGGAAUUCCUGGUGUAGCGGUGGAAUGCACAGAUAUCAGGAGGAACACCGAUGGCGAAGGCAGGUCUCUGGGCUGUAACUGACGCUGAGAAGCGAAAGCAUGGGGAGCGAACAGGAUUAGAUACCCUGGUAGUCCAUGCCGUAAACGUUGGGCACUAGGUGUGGGGGACAUUCCACGUUUUCCGCGCCGUAGCUAACGCAUUAAGUGCCCCGCCUGGGGAGUACGGCCGCAAGGCUAAAACUCAAAGGAAUUGAUGGGGGCCCGCACAAGCGGCGGAGCAUGCGGAUUAAUUCGAUGCAACGCGAAGAACUCUUACCAAGGCUUGACAUGCAUUAGAUCGCGUCAGAGAUGGCGUUUCCCUUCGGGGCUGGUGUACAGGUGGUGCAUGGUUGUCGUCAGCUCGUGUCGUGAGAUGUUGGGUUAAGUCCCGCAACGAGCGCAACCCUCGUUCUAUGUUGCCAGCGGUUCGGCCGGGGACUCAUAGGAGACUGCCGGGGUCAACUCGGAGGAAGGUGGGGAUGACGUCAAAUCAUCAUGCCCCUUAUGUCUUGGGCUUCACGCAUGCUACGAUGGCCGGUACAGAGGGUUGCGAUACUGUGAGGUGGAGCUAAUCCCUUAAAAGCCGGUCUCAAGUUCGGAUUGGGGUCUGCAAACUCGACCCCGUGAAAGUCGGAGUCGCUAGUAAUCGCGGAAUCAGCAAACGCUGCGGUAAAUACGUUUCCCGG